UACAGAGGGGGCAAGCGUUGUUCGGAAUUACUGGGCGUAAAGGGCGCGUAGGCGGCCUUCUAAGUCGAACGUGAAAUCCCCGGGCUCAACCCGGGAACUGCGUCCGAUACUGGAAGGCUUGAAUCCGGGAGAGGGAUGCGGAAUUCCAGGUGUAGCGGUGAAAUGCGUAGAUAUCUGGAGGAACACCGGUGGCGAAGGCGGCAUCCUGGACCGGCAUUGACGCUGAGGCGCGAAAGCCAGGGGAGCAAAUGGG
rnacentral:rRNA from 1 species